rnacentral:lncRNA from 1 species
CCUGCGGGCUGGAGAGGCUGCCCCUGGUGUGCGGGUCCUGCGGGCUGGAGAGGCUGCCCCGGGUGUGCGGGUCCUGCGGGCUGGAGAGGCUGCCCCGGGUGUGCGGGUCCUGGGGGCAGGAGAGGCUGCCCCGGGUGUGCGGGUCCUUGGGGCUGGAGAGGCUGCCCCGGGUGUGCGGGUCCUGCGGGCUGGAGAGGCUGCCCCGGGUGUGCGGGUCCUUGGGGCUGGAGAGGCUGCCCCGGGUGUGCGGGUCCUGCGGGCUGGAGAGGCUGCCCCUGGUGUGCGGGUCCUGGGGACAGGUCUGCUCGCUGGGCCUUUGC